rnacentral:rRNA from 1 species
CAACAGGGCAUUGCCUUAGUAACGGCGAGUGAAGCGGCAAAAGCUCAAAUUUGAAAUCUGGCACCUUCGGUGUCCGAGUUGUAAUUUGAAGAAGGUAACUUUGGGAUUGGCUCUUGUCUAAGUUCCUUGGAACAGGACGUCACAGAGGGUGAGAAUCCCGUGCGAUGAGAUGACCAAUCCUAUGUAAAGUGCUUUCGAAGAGUCGAGUUGUUUGGGAAUGCAGCUCUAAGUGGGUGGUAAAUUCCAUCUAAAGCUAAAUAUUGGCGAGAGACCGAUAGCGAACAAGUACAGUGAUGGAAAGAUGAAAAGAACUUUGAAAAGAGAGUGAAAAAGUACGUGAAAUUGUUGAAAGGGAAGGGCUUGAGAUCAGACUUGGUAUUUUGCAUUCCUUACCUUCGUGGUGGGGUUCCUUGCAGUUUACUGGGCCAGCAUCGGUUUGGAUGGUGGGAUAAUGACAUUGGAAUGUGGCUCUGCUUCGGUAGAGUGUUAUAGCCAGUGUUGAUACCGCCUGUCUAGACCGAGGACUGCGUCUUUGACUAGGAUGCUGGCAUAAUGAUCUUAAGUCGCCCGUCUUGAAACCC